rnacentral:rRNA from 1 species
GACGAACGCUGGCGGCGUGCUUAACACAUGCAAGUCGAACGGAAAGGCCCUGCUUUUGUGGGGUGCUCGAGUGGCGAACGGGUGAGUAACACGUGAGUAACCUGCCCUUGACUUUGGGAUAACUUCAGGAAACUGGGGCUAAUACCGGAUAGGAGCUCCUGCUGCAUGGUGGGGGUUGGAAAGUUUCGGCGGUUGGGGAUGGACUCGCGGCUUAUCAGCUUGUUGGUGGGGUAGUGGCUUACCAAGGCUUUGACGGGUAGCCGGCCUGAGAGGGUGACCGGCCACAUAGGGACUGAGAUACGGCCCAGACUCCGACGGGAGGAAGCAGUGGGGAAUAUUGAACAAUGGACGGAAGCCUGAUGCAGCAACGCCGCGUGCGGGAUAACGGCCUUCGGGUUGUAAACCGCUUUCGCCUGUGACGAAGCGUGAGUGACGGUAAUGGGUAAAGAAGCACCGGCUAACUACGUG